GGUCUGUGAAGUGGAAGUUUACGCAGAUGUUCACUGCAUUACUCCUGAUUCUCUUGUCAACGGCAAAUACAGCAUCACAAAUGACUCGGUGGGUGGGUCUUUGUCAGUGGAAUGCAAUCAAGGGUAUAAACCAACAUCCUCUAAACCGAUUACAUGUGAGAGCAGUGGAAAUUGGAGUCAGCCGUUUCCAACAUGCACAGAUUUUAGUUGCUCUGACUGUCAUGAAGAAGCCGAUUGCAUUCAAAACGAGCACUGCGUUUGCAAACCAGGAUACAUUGGCGACGGGAGAUAUUGCUG